GCUGAUAUAUCAUAGCGGUCUAGUACAGCUCGUUGUGGCCAAGCAAACGCAUGUUCGAUUCAUCUAUCAGCA